GUGGCGAACUGGGGAGUAACACGUGGGUAACCUGCCCUUGAAGUAGGGGAUAACACUUGGAAACAGGUGCUAAUACCGUAUAACAACCAAAACCACCUGGUUUUGGUUUAAAAGAUGGCUUCGGCUAUCACUUUAGGAUGGACCCGCGGCGUAUUAGCUUGUUGGUAAGGUAACGGCCUACCAAGGCAAUGAUACGUAGCCGACCUGAGAGGGUAAUCGGCCACAUUGGGACUGAGACACGGCCCAAACUCCUACGGGAGGCAGCAGUAGGGAAUCUUCCACAAUGGACGAAAGUCUGAUGGAGCAACGCCGCGUGAGUGAUGAAGGGUUUCGGCUCGUAAAACUCUGUUGUUGGAGAAGAACAGGUGUGAGAGUAACUGUUCACAUCUUGACGGUAUCCAACCAGAAAGCCACGGCUAACUACGUGCCAGCAGCCGCGGUAAUACGUAGGUGGCAAGCGUUGUCCGGAUUUAUUGGGCGUAAAGCGAGCGCAGGCGGUUUCUUAGGUCUGAUGUGAAAGCCUUCGGCUUAACCGGAGAAGUGCAUCAGAAACCAGGAGACUUGAGUGCAGAAGAGGACAGUGGAACUCCAUGUGUAGCGGUGAAAUGCGUAGAUAUAUGGAAGAACACCAGUGGCGAAGGCGGCUGUCUGGUCUGUAACUGACGCUGAGGCUCGAAAGCAUGGGUAGCGAACAGGAUUAGAUACCCUGGUAGUCCAUGCCGCAAACGAUGAGU
rnacentral:rRNA from 1 species